AAAAAUUACAUGAUUUGAGUUCAGACCGGUACAAGCCAGGUCGGUUUCCAUCUUCUAAAUAAUUCUUACAGUACGAAAGGGCCUAAGAAACUAA
rnacentral:rRNA from 1 species